GGCGGCAGGUACCCGACCCCCUUCAGAGAGUUUCCAUGCUUGCACAAAUGAUUUUUUUUUUUUUUAAACUUACCUAUACUCCUGGGAGAAGGGAAGGAGAAUGUCUGGUCUCCAGUUGCAAUCCCUUGCUCGAGCGGAGCUCACUUUGUGCGGAUCUUUGCUCCAGGAACUACAAGUUUGAUUCUCUUUGCUCCUUCGAACGCUUCUUCCAUGGAUUCUUUGAUCCAUUUCCUGUUCCUCCGAUCCGUCUUGAUGUCGUGCCUUCUUUAACUCUAAGAAUUGAUUAUUCUUCAUAUUGAUUAUUCUUCUCGUGCUAAUAAGGGUCGUUGCACUCCUUGAUCAACGUGUUGUUGGCUAGGUUUUUUGUUUUCUUAAUUUGUUUCUUGCCGAAUUCUUUUUGUUCUUCUUUCUGGGAGGGGAAAGUUAUUACUAUAAUAUAUCUGCUUUCCGUUCCUUUUCCAGUAAUUCCUGUGGAUUAGGCAUUUUUAUCGAAAGUGGGUUUAGUUUUUGAUCAUAAUGCCAACAUGAUGUUUGGAGCUUCUGGUUUUGUUGGAAUAUUUCUCACAUUGUUUUGUACUUCUUUAAUCAUAUUUCUUCAUAAUUGUAGGGUUUUAGGUUUUGUUUCUCUUGUUUAUUGCUGAAACCUUAUUUAUUGUUCUUAUUUUUAGAUGAGAGGUUAUUUGCACUUAUUAAAAAUGACGUCAAGAAAUCCUAAGCUUUCUUCUUUGGAUUUUUAGGGUUUCGAAGUUUCUUGAGGUUUCUUGACCGGUGAUCUUAGCUACUAAUGGAGGGCUCGGAGGAGGCUAAGGCAUCGUAGAAGGACUGCGUUAAGG
rnacentral:lncRNA from 1 species